rnacentral:rRNA from 1 species
UACGUAGGGUCCGAGCGUUGUCCGGAAUUACUGGGCGUAAAGCGCGCGUAGGCGGCUUUGCAAGUCGGGUGUGAAAUCCCCAGGCUUAACCUGGGAACUGCAUUCGAGACUGCAUUGCUAGAGUAUGGGAGAGGGAAGUGGAAUUUCCGGUGUAGCGGUGAAAUGCGUAGAUAUCUGGAGGAACACCGGUGGCGAAGGCGGCAUCCUGGACCAACACUGACGCUGAGGCGCGAAAGCUAGGGGAGCAAACGGG